rnacentral:ncRNA from 1 species
AAUGAGGUUGCCGAAAAUCAUUAAGAGUAGGCA